GAUGUAAUUUACCUCUCUAUGUAUUGUAAAUAAUAAAAAAACAGCAGGGGCAGGGGCUGAAUACGGGAGAACAAAGGCUUGCUUUAUUUUUCUGUUUUUCGCAGCUUAAGAGACGGAAGGGGCAGAGGAGGGUUUUUCCAAUUCCACCAGCCGCGAGCCUUCACCAACAGGACAACCGCCUGCAGCGAGAUUGCUUCUUCCCAGCCGUGAGAGCCUUCCCAGCCGAGAGAGGAGCACCGGCAACUGUGAGCCUUCCACCGCCGAGAGAUCCUUCCAGCUGCAGCGGACGGGAGAGGGAGACGACGAGAGAUGGGUGCGGUGUUGGGUGUCUCUAACCUCAUGCGGAAGUUCACGCAAGGGUAAGUGAAGGUGAUCCAGGUAAGCGAGUAGAUCAGGCUCGCAAAUAAAAGGGCUUCAGUAGUACCCUGAUAGAGAGUUUGAAGCUGCCGGCCCAUUGGAUUUUCUGCCGCAUUUUCAUUUUGUUUUGUUUUUUAAAAUUUUUAAUGUAUUCAUUUUUUU